rnacentral:rRNA from 1 species
AUUGAACGCUGGCGGCAGGCCUAACACAUGCAAGUCGAGCGGAUGAGUGGAGCUUGCUCCAUGAUUCAGCGGCGGACGGGUGAGUAAUGCCUAGGAAUCUGCCUGGUAGUGGGGGACAACGUUUCGAAAGGAACGCUAAUACCGCAUACGUCCUACGGGAGAAAGUGGGGGAUCUUCGGACCUCACGCUAUCAGAUGAGCCUAGGUCGGAUUAGCUAGUUGGUGAGGUAAAGGCUCACCAAGGCGACGAUCCGUAACUGGUCUGAGAGGAUGAUCAGUCACACUGGAACUGAGACACGGUCCAGACUCCUACGGGAGGCAGCAGUGGGGAAUAUUGGACAAUGGGCGAAAGCCUGAUCCAGCCAUGCCGCGUGUGUGAAGAAGGUCUUCGGAUUGUAAAGCACUUUAAGUUGGGAGGAAGGGCAGUAAGUUAAUACCUUGCUGUUUUGACGUUACCGACAGAAUAAGCACCGGCUAACUCUGUGCCAGCAGCCGCAGUAACAC